GACGUAGGGCGCGAGCGUUGUCCGGAUUUAUUGGGCGUAAAGAGCUCGUAGGCGGCUUGUUGCGUCGUCCGUGAAAACCUGGGGCUCAACUCCAGGCUUGCGGUCGAUACGGGCAGGCUAGAGUUCGGUAGGGGAGUCUGGAAUUCCUGGUGUAGCGGUGAAAUGCGCAGAUAUCAGGAGGAACACCGGUGGCGAAGGCGGCAUCCUGGACCGACACUGACGCUGAGGAGCGAAAGCCAGGGGAGCAAACGGG
rnacentral:rRNA from 1 species